GGGAAGGUGCAUAUUUUUUAAUUUUUGAUGGGCUGCAAAUAGAAAAAAGGUGCAAGGAGAUACAGUUGUUGUGUACGUAGAGGCUCAUAUUGUUUAGGUUGUCCAUGGUUUGUAUUUUGGAUCCAAUUAUUAAAUGGAUUAUGAUAUGGGGAUAAUUAUUAGCAGGUCAUAUUGACUAGACUUAUUUACUCACAAGUCCCAAGUGAAUUUGUUUAUUUUUUAACAUAUUUGCCUCUUGUUUUGAUAAUGAGAACAUUUUCAAACUUUUUAGAUGUGUUUUGUGUUUGUGGAAUGAUAAUUUGUUAGUAGUAAUGAUAUUGAUAAAUUUAUCAAAUUUGACUUUUGUUUGUGAAUUUGUUUUAUUCUUAGUUUAUUUGUGUUAGUUUGUAUUGAAAUAUGAUGUGGGAAAUAGUUGAAUUGCAUUUAAAAAAAAACAUUUUUUAAGUGAUAAAUUUAUCAUUGAAAGUUGGAGUGUACUUUUUGAUAAAUAAGUCCAGUCCACAGGACUAGCUUGUAACUACCCCUAUUAUAUAUAUGUUUUGUUAUGUGUAGAAUAGUCUGAGUGGUAAAAAAGGUCAAAGUUUCUUAUUUUGAAUUUAUGUCAUAGUUGGAGUAGAAUUAGAAGUCAUAGUAAUAGUUCGUCUAGAAUUUUUGUAGUUUUAGUUUCUAAAUUUGAGUCUUAAUCCUUUGUUUGAGUAGGGAGUAAGGGAGUCUUUAGCCUAUAAAUAUAUGUGUACUCUCAAUGAUUUAAUAGAGUUCAAAUUAUGAGAAUUUAAGAUUGUGUUUGUGUGUGAUUGGCGUAACCCUUUCGAGGGUGAAACACCUAUUUCUUCUUCUAUUUCUUUUUCUUCUUCUUUUUGUACAUACCCAAGUUACUAUUUUCCGGUUAUAUCAUUCAUAGCCCUCAAAAAGUGCACUUUUCAGCCCGAAAAUCCUUUACAAUCAAACCCAAAUCUAAAUAGCCUCUGUUCUGAAAAUCCAAAAAGCUGUCCUACAUUACAUUGUCUGGCAAAUGACCACACUUUGACUUUGCUGAUAAUGUUGUAUGAAUUGGAAAUUAGUAUGUUUACUUCGUCAAGAUCUUUUUCGACUGUAUGAUUAAUUCAUGAUUAUCAAAAUAAAUGAACUGAUCCUCAGUUUCUUCUUCCAUCAGAAUCUACUUUUUGUUCUGACCAUGUGAUAUUUAAGUUUCAAAUGUACAGUAAUCAUCCAUUCUAAUUGAUUUGUUGCUUGGACAGAAUAUGAUCAGUAUGUUUUUUUUGUCAUAUAUGUAGAAUAUUGUUUUGCAUCAGUUCAAUUAAUUUAGGCUGAGCAGUGUGUUUUGUUGUCUGUUGACAUUUGUUGCUUUUCAUGUCAUCAAAUAUUCAUGCUUAGCACCUUAGUUUUUUAUUUUUCUUUUUUGGGUUAAAUAGGGCUAUGUUAAGAACAUCACACCAAAGGGAUGCUUCAUUAUGCUUUCUCGGAAGCUCGAUGCGAAAAUCCUUCUCUCAAACUUGUCUGAUGGCUAUGUUGAAAAUCUCGAAAAAGAAUUCCCUAUUGGGAAACUUGUUGUUGGCAAGGUGGCAUCUGUGGAGCCUUUGUCUAAGCGAGUUGAAGUCACCCUUAGGACAUCAAAUGCAAG